ensembl:lncRNA
CCGGGACCCGCGCCCGGAGGGGCGGUCGGGAGGUGUGGACGGCCCUGCCCGGGACAGCUCCGCGUGACCUUGGGCCGAGAGGGUUCCCCCCCCAGGCUCCGCGUGUGCCUGCGGGCGCCUGCUGCCGAGGUAGCGCGUCUCCCGGCUCUGAAGCGUGACGUCGCUGGAGAGGUCGCUCGGGCCUCUGUGGUGCCAGAGUCGGGAGCGCUAGGCCGCUCUGGAAAGUUGCUGUAGAAGAAAGGGGAAAAGGAAGACGCUGCUGGAGGAGAUCAGUAGCUCUGGAGACGAUGGAAGUUUACGUUUCUAAAUGGUUUGGAAGGUGCUACAUUAAGAGGAACUGGGAAGAUUCACAAUGGUGGACCUCUGAGGAAUGGAAAAAACAGAAUCAAGACCAGAAGAGCUGGGAAGAUAAGAUGAGCAAGUGGCCCAAGAUGUUCCAGGCAGUGAAGAGACCAAAGGCUGGAAGGUGGCUGGGGUUUCUGGGUGAAGGUGGUGGAUGGAUGGUAUGUGUUGAAGUUAAAGUCUUUCAGGAGUCUCCGAAACAUUGUUGUAAAGCAGAACUCUGUGAGGGCGAGGAGAGCAAGAGAAAAAGUAACAGCAGCACCAUUUUUUUUCAAGUUCUUUUAUUGGUACAUUUUAGGUAUACAAUUCGUUUACAUUUAUCACUGGGUGCUUGUACCUGUACAUGACGUAUCUUGCUUCUUAUUUUUUUCCUCAUUACCUGUGUGCCCUUCACCCCCUCCACCCUUCCCUAUUUACAUAGAUUUCAUUUCCAUUUUUUUCCUUUUCUCAUAGUUUUUCCUUUCCCUCCUUUCCUUUCCCCUUCCCCUCUUUUCACCUCUUCGUCUUUGGACUUUUUUCCUAUUUCAAAUUAUCAAUUAUUCAUUUUAAUCAUUUUAACCCUUGUUUACACUAUCAGUUUCUCACACUGAAACUAUUUGGUAUUUACUUGUGUGUCCUAUUCAUUUCACUUAAGAGUAUGGCCUCUAUAUGCAUCCAUUUAUCUAUAAAUGACUGUAGUUUUUCGUUCUUCAUGGCUGAGUAGUACUCCAUUUUAUAAAAAAAACAAAAACACAUCUACUUUAUCCAGUUUCCAAUUGAUAGGCACUUGGGCUGCUUCCAAGCUUUACCUAUUUUAAACUGUGCCGCUAUGAACAUGGGUGCACAUAUAUCGCUGUGGUAUGAUUCUUUUAAUUCUUUUGGGAAGAUACCCAGCAGGGGAAUAGCUGGGUCAAAUGGGACCUCUAGUCCUAGUUCUUUGAGGUAUCUCCAUACUGAUUUCCACAGUGGUUGCACUAGUCUACACUCCCACCAGCAAUGGAGAAGGUUUCCUUUCUCCCCACACCCCCACCAGCAUUUGUUAUUGGUUGAUUUCUUGAUAGCAGCCAUUCUUUCUGGGGUGAGGUGGAAUCUCAAUGUUGUUUUCAUCUGCAUCUCUCGAAUGACCAGUGAUGUUGAACAUUUGUUCAUAUAUUUGUUUGCUGCUUUUACUUCUUUGUCUGAGAAAUGUCUGUUCAUUUCAGAUGCCCAUUUUUGAAUUGGGUCUUUGAAUUUGGGAGGUCUGAUUUUUUUUCAAUUCUUUAUAUGUUCUAGAUAGUAGUCCUUUGUCUGAGGUACAGCUGCUAAAAAUUUUUUCCCAUAUUGUAGGUUGUCUGUUAGCUCUGUUGGUGGUUUCUUUUGCAGUGCAGAAGCUUUUUAAUAAGAUGAGAUCCCAGUUGUUGAUUCUUUGUGCUAGUUCCCAUGCUACUGAGGUUUUGUUCAUGAAGUCUUUUCCUAUGCCAAUGUCUUCAAAAGUUCUACCGAACUUAUCUUCCAACAAUUUUAGUGUUUCUGUCUUAGUAUUUAGAUCUUUAAUCCACUUUGAUCUUAGUUUAGUGCAUGGUGAUAGGUAUGGGUCUAGUUUUAAUCUUUGGCAGGUUGAAAUCCAGUUUUUCCAACACCAUUUAUUAAAUAGGCUAUCUUUCCUCCAAUGAUGGUGGUUGGCUCCUUUGUCAAAGAUGAGGUGGCUGAGUAUGUCUGGAGUUGCUUCUGCAUCUUCUAAUCUAUUCCACUGAUCCUCAGGUCUGUUCUUUGCCAGUACCAUGCUCUUUUUAACACAGUAGCUUUGCAGUAUAAUUUCAAGUUGGGGAUUGUGAUACCCCCAGCCAUGUCUCUCUUGCUUAGAAUUGCUUUUGCUAUUCUAGGUCUCUUCUUGUUCCAAAUGAAUUUUUGGAUUGUUUUCUCUAGUUCUGUGAAGUAUGUUGUUGGCAUUUCAAUCGGCAUUGCAUUGAAUCUGUAUAGUAGUUAUGGAAGUAUGGCCAUUUUCACUAUAUUGAUUCUUCCUACCCAGGAACAAGGGAUGUCUUUCCAUUUUCUUAUAUCCUCCUCAAUCUCCUUUUUCAGAGUGCUGUACUUUUCAGUGUAGAGGUCUUUUGCUUCCUUUGUUAGAUUGAUUCCUAGAUAUUUCAUUAUUUUGGAUGCUAUUGUAAAAGGAAUUGUUUCCCUGAUUUCUCGCUCAGUGAGUCUUUUAUUUGAGCAGCAUAAAAGUAGGUAGCAGGACUGAGGAUUUAGCUCAGUGCUUCCGGUGCCUGCCUCACAAACACAAGGUCGUAAAUUUGAUCCCCGGUACCAAAAAAAAAAAAAAAAAAGUAGGUCGCAGAAGUAUAAAAGACAAAACCUUCAAAACAAAAAUUUGAAGGGAAAGUUGAGGAUACCUCCAUGGAAAUAGAACAGAUCCACAACAACAAAUGGAAAUAGGGGGAAAAAAUUAAGUUAGCCAGCCAGAUUAUUGAUCAAAUCUGUAAUAGGAACUCCACAGAGUGGUCAGAGAAAAGUGUCAGUAAUUCAAGAAAAGUCUUUUUUUUUUUUUUUUGGCACUGGGGAUAGAACUAACCAUUGUGAAACCACUGAGCUAAAUCCCCGGCCCCAAGAAAAGUCUUUAUGACCGAGAAACAUGUUCAUAGGGCCAGGAUUUAGCUCAGCAGCAUAGCACCUACCUGGUAAGAGCGAGGUCCUGAGUUCGGUCCCCGGUACCAAAAAAAAAAAUGUUCACAGGACCCAAAGAGAGCCCACUACAAGGUAUAUCACCAGUGAGUUUCAGAACAUCAAGGACAAAAAUGUCCUGACAUUAGAAGCAGGUCACAUACUAACUGGAGUCAGAAUGGCUGUGGGCUUCUCCGCAGCAGCAAGUAGAAAUUAGAAGGCAAGAAAACAGCCUUGGGAAAUGUAAAGGAAAAUUCUUUUCCACCCUUCACCCAGGUGAACUAUAAACCUAGUGUAGUCGGCAUCCCUUCCCAGCAAGGAUGUUUCCUGAGAAAUGCCGUCAGGCAAUUUUAUUAUUGUCUGAAUGAACAUUGUACUGUGAGGUCUCAUAAACCUGCAUGGUGUAGGUCAGCUAAUCCAUGUGGCCUCUUGAGCAAUGAAGAGACACAAGUUGCUGCCUUUGUCCUGAGCCUACUAUGUGCUCUAGUUGGACAAGUGUCCCCAGAGGCCCGUGUGUUAUAUAUUGGUCCCCUGCCCAGGUUCUCUUGGAGGUGGAGCCUUAAAGACCUUAAAGGGCCUUGUGAGAGGUCUUAGCUCAUUAAAGGAGUGCCGGUGAGGGGAUAUUGGGGCCUCUGCCUCUUGUCUUCCCUUCUGCCUCCCAGCCCCUCCGUGUGUCUCCUCCGUGUGUCUCGUCGUGCUGUGCUCCACUGCCGCAGGCUGGGAGCAACAGGGCCAAUCAGCCUUGGUCUGAAACCUCCAAAAUCAUGAGCCAAAAUAAAGCUUUCCUGUUUUUUUGUUGUUUUUUUUAAAAAAGAGGAACUGGGAAACAAGAACACAAGGUAUGUGGGGUCUCUAUUAUAUCCACUCCAUGUAAAUCUUUGAUUAUUUCAAAACAAAUUUCUAUUAAAAAAUGAAGGAGGACUCUUCAUUUUCAUAAAGAUCAUGAUCAGACAAAAUGAACUAUAUUGUAUAGAAGUAUGGGUAGUAGAACUGAAGAAAAUAAAAUGAUUGUUAUAAAACUCAGUCUAGUGGCUUCCUCCACAGUGGGAGUAGGAGAUUGUCACUGGGGAAUAGUAAAGGGUGGGUGUUCUUGACCUUCAAGAUCUUUACACUUCUGUAUACUUCAAUUCAUUGAACUGUACAUCUAUGAUUUUAAAACUUUUUAUAAGAGAAGGUGCUGACUAGCAGCCCAUAGUUUGUUGUACCCUAGUCUAGUACUCAAAAAGAUCUCAUAGUUCCAUAAAGUAAAAAUAUUUGACCACAAUAACACUGAAAAUUAAAACUAAAACUAAAAGAUGGUGAGCCUGGAAAUUAAAGCAUCAUGUAUUAAAUAAUUAUUAGGUGUAUGAGUAAUAAAACAAAAAUGGUGAAUUUCUGAAAAAGAACAAUAAUAAAAACUAUGCAUCAGAAAUCAUGGGAUACAUUUAAAGCAAUGAUUAGAGAGUGAUUUAUAUACCUAUAAAAUGAAUGAAUAAAAAUGAGUUAAAUUUCCAACUCAAAAUACUAAACAAAGUACAAAAUAAACAGAUAAAGGUAUAAGAAAGGAAUUACUAAAAAGAUUAAUGAAGUUGAAAACAAAAUCAGAAAUUCAUCAGAUUACUGGCUCCUGAAGAAAUAAAACAGACAAACCACUACAUAAUCAAAGAAGAAAGAUGAAUAAUAAAAUAAGAAAUUAUAUAGAACUAACUGUGAUAGUGGGAAUUUUUUUAAAAGUCACAACUACUUUUGUGUAUCUACCUGUAUGCAUAUAAAUUUGAAACAUAGAAGAAAUGGAUAAUUUCUAAUGCAAAUAUUCUAUACUCAAACUGACCCCAAUCGAAUUUGAAUGUGGUAGUAUAUACUUAUAAUCCCAGCCCUCUGGGAGGCUGAUGCAGGAAGAUCAUAAGUCUUAGCCCAGCCUGGCGACUUAGCAAUUUAGCAAGAUCUUGUCUCAAAAACAUAAAUUAAAGGGCUUGAGAUGUAGCUCAGAAUGAAGGCCCUGGGUUCAAUCCUAGUAUUGCAGGAAAAAAAAAAAAAAAAAAAAAAAAGAACAAAUAACUUCAGUAAUGUACUAGAGAAUGGGCUCUGAGAACACAUUAAGACGUUAAUGCAUCACAAUCAAACUAGAUUUAUAUUGGGGAUGCAAAAUGAUUUCUAUUUUUAAAAAUAAAAUUUACUAUUUAAUAGGCAUCUGGGAAAGAUGAUUUUUCUUUACAGGUGUUAAAAGUUGAUUUUGGCAAAAUUCAACCCAUUGUCAGUUUAAAAAAAAUUGUAAAUAGUAAUGAACACAAGGCAUUUCCAAUGAGGUCAGGAAAUAGGUUAGGGUGCCCACUAACUCCCCUGGAAUCUGGCACUAUCGGAAUGCAACACUCACAGCAGUCAGACUAGAGGAAAUAACCAGAGGUACGGGAGUAGGAAAUAAGUAAGUUUACUCAUAUUUGUAGAUGACAUUGUAGCACAUGUGAAAAAUCCUAGUGAAUCCAUAAUAAAAUGAACUCAAAGAAAAGUCAGUAAAGUAGCAGGAAGUAAAAUAACAUGUAAAACUCAGUAUCACUUAUAUGCACAUACAGACGCUAAUUAGAAGAUACAAUGAAUGCAAAACACCACUGUAAUAAAUGGUAACAAAAAUACAUAAUGAAAAUAAAAAUAUUUAGGAACAAACUUAUCAAGAAAUGCCCAGAACCUAUGUGAAGAAAACUAUAAAAUACUUCUAUGAGACAUAAAAAUAAGUCUGUAAAAAUGGAGAGAUAUUUCUUAUCCUUGAUUAGCACAUCUCAACAUUAUCAGGUUGUAAGUUCUUCCCAGAGUAAGUUACAAAAGCAAUCCCAAUAAAAAUUCCCAUGGACUUUAACUUCUGUAUGCAAAGAGAACAUAGAGUGAGAAAUGCAGAAGAGGAGCGAAGACAGAUGAAAGAGAGAAAAGGCAGAGAGACUCCAAGUGUGGAAAUGGCUUGAUCCCCAUGGCUGAUGGGGAUGGAGGGAGGGGGCCCCUAGUCAGACAAUAGGAGCAGAUUCUCAAAGGUAAGAAACAAAGCCAGCCUAGGCCCUGCAAAGAAAUGAGGACUUCUCAUUUCCCACGGGCAAGUGAACUCUACAGCAAUACUGGGAGUUCCUUCCCCAGUAACACUGAUUUGGCCUUUGGGAGCUAGGGCAGAAAAGCAGCCAGGCCAACCCACAGAACAUGAAAGCACUGUAGGAAGACAAUAGUGCUACAAGCUCUGCUGACCACAAACCUAUGCUCCAAACAAGAGAUGACAUGUAUACAUGCGGUAUGUUACGGAUAAUUACACUGAAGUUAAUUGAAUUUUUAAAAAAUAAGUGAGAAUAGCCAAGAAAGUUUUGACAGAACUAUCAUGAAAGAAAUUUGCCUUACCCAGAUUGAAAAGUUUUAAAAGGUGCAAUAAUGGAAAUGGAAUAGUAUUGUCUCAGGAAUAAACAAACAUAUUGAUGAAACAGAAAUGUGAGCCUACAUAUAAAAUUAUGUAUGUUAUAAAGAUCAUUAGAAGCUGAUAGAUAAAAAUUAUUCAAUAAAUAAUACUAGGACAGUUGGUAAAGUAUUGAGGGAAAUUAAAUUAGAUCUUUGCAGUAUUAAAAGUAAAUCAUAGCUAGAUUAAACAGUUAAAUAUUUUGACAACAAUUAAGCUUCAUUGUCAACUUGUCUUGUGAGCCACUUACAGGAGUAGUAAAGCAUACAUUACUCAAGAAUGGGUCAUGGAGGUGGUUCAUGGCUCCUUCCUCUCUGGUACUGUUCCCUGCUCUGCUUCCCAGCUGCCAUGAACUAAGAAUUUUUGCUCCACUGUAUCCUUUUGCCACGAUGUUCUUAUCUAGGAGCCAGCCAAGCAUGGACUGAAUCUCCUGAAACCAUGAGCCACUCUAAACUUCUCUUCUUUUAGGUUGUGAGUGUUAAGUAUUUUGUUCCAGCAACAGGGAAGCUGAUACAUUUUUUAAAAGCCAAAUAUAAAAUAUUUAUAUAAUCUGAAGGUAGGGGGAAAUUUUCAAAGCAUUAUAGCAACCUUAAAAAUCCACAAGAUAUAGGACUCAUAAAUAAAGACAAUCAAAAUCAUACAUAUAAAAAUAUGCUAAACAAAAUAUGAAUAAUUUGGAGAAAUAACUGCAAACUUACAACAUAGAACUAACAGUUGUAAGAUGUGAAACAUCAUUCAGACAGAAACUUUUUAAAAAUGGGAAAUAUAAAUAACUAAAUGUUUCAACACCAAGAAUGAUCACAAGAGUUUCUAAAAUAUAAGUUCUGUAACAUUGAAAGCAAUCACUUCUGACUGAAAAGUUACUCCUUCAUGAAAUGGUCCAUUGGCUCAUGAUAGCUACAGAAAAUUGAGAAUCUAAGCUGGUGUAAUACUUUUUUGAACUGCAAUUUUUUAAAACUUUGGACCAUGCCAAAGGAGUAUAAAAUUCUAUUGUUCAAUUAUUCUACAUGCUCAUCCUUGAGAUUACAAAACAUUUUCCAGAGUUAAUAGAGAAAUUGGCUUUUUUUUUUUGGUACUGGGGAUCGAACUCGGGUCCUUGCACUUGCACAGCAGGCAGAGAAACCACUGAGCUAAAUCCCCAGCCCAGAAAUUGGCUAUUUUUGAUGAACCCUUAUUCAGAAGGUAAAUUUUAAUAUUCUAACUGAUGCUAGAAACAAAGGAAAAUGUACAUCUGUCAUGAUAAACAUAAGUUCUAUUGGAUCCAGAAUUUUAAGACCUCGUGGACUCUUCUGGACCACGGAGGCCAUCAGAUAUUAUUUUGAAUCUCAGAUUUGAAGUAAGUGCAAUUGACCUGAUUUUGCUUACCCUGAUUUAAACUCAUAUAAAUUAGUGUGAUGGUAUCCAGCUUGAGCCCAUCUUCUCUGAACACUUAAAUGUGGACCCAACUCCAAGGCAGAAGCAGUAAACUGUAGUUGUCUUAAACUAGUGUCAGUCCAUACAUAGAUACAAUUGAGAGGUAUAUUCAUCCAGAGUAAUGGAGUAGGAGGUUGUUGUCAACUUGAUUUUCUGGUUUGUCCUUCCUAUGUUCCUUUUUGAAAUGAUAAGUCCUUAUUUUGUAUUUAAAUUUUUCCUCACUUUUAUGCACAAAAUUAACAUACUAUGUUUUUCACCUAAUUUUAUCUCCAGGAAAUUAUCAGUACAUGGUGCUCCACUCUAUUUUGUUUCAUGGCUGUACAGUACUCCAUUUUGUCCAUGUACCAAGUUGAUGCAACCAGUCUUGAUUAAUGCUUAACAAUCACAAAUAUUUCAUUAGUAACUGUGUAUAUGUAUUUUAUAUUGUUUUAUGUAUGUUCAAAUUAAAUUCAUGGAGAAAUUUCUCUGUUCAGGUUUGGUUAUAAAUGAUUGGUUAGGAUUGCCAAGCCCCCUGCCCUGAGGUUAUGCCAUUUUCCAUAUCCUUUGGCAAUGUAUAGCAUUACCUGUUACCUAACCAGCUACCAACAGAGUGCACAUUGCAGAAUGUAUUGCCAGUUUUAUGGGUAACAGAUGGAACAUCAUUGUAGUGUUCAUUAUUUGUUUUUCAUAUUAAUGAUAUUGCAUUUUUAAUAUUUCAUUUUUACAUCUCUUUUUGAGUAGUUGUUGAAGUUGUUUGUUCAAAUCUGUCCAAUCAUCUUCUUGUGUCUACUUUUUAACUGGGUUGUCUAUUAAUGAGCUGUAAGAGUUCUUUACAUAUUCUGGUCAUAGGUUAUAUGCAUUGUAAAUAUGGUCUGUUUAAGGACUACUUUUUAUUUUAACGAUGUCAUUUAAAGUUCCAAUUUUUUUUUAUGUCAUUUAAAGUUCCAAAUUUUGAGGGAAUCUCAUUUAUCAAUUUUUUUCUUUUAUACAUCGUGUUUUUUGUAUCCUAGGAAGUCCUUGCCUACACUAAAUUCAUAAAUAUUUUCCCUUAUAAUUUCUUCUUAUAGUUUUAGUCUUUCAUAUUUAGGUUCACAGAUCCUUUCAAGUUAUUUUUAUGUAUGGAAAUAAAAGAUUGAGGUUAAUAUUUUAUAUACAGAUACCAGGUGUUCUAGUGCCAUUUGCUGAAAAUGCUAUCUUUUCCUCUGCUCUUGAAUUGAGUUUAUAUUCUAUAAAAUGUUAAUGUUAAAUAAUCCUUCAAAACUCAGUGGACCAUAUAUGUGUGGUUCUAUUUGUAGAUUCUCUGUUUUAUUCCAAUGAUCUAUAUGUCUUUCCUUACACCAACACUGCCUUGAUUACUGUAGCUUUAGAGGAAGUCUUCAAAUUAGGUACUAAACAUCUUCCAACACUGUUUUUUUUUUCUUUUUCUUUUUACUUUUCUAGGCCCUUUAUACUCCUACAUAACUUUUAAAUUUCAAUAUCCAGUUCUUCAUUUAUAGCAGGUAUACACAGAUCUGAAUUUUUAUAUAUACCUUGUGUUUUCUAAUCCUGCUAAAUUCAAAUACAAGUUCUAGGGGCUCCUGGAGAUUUCUUAGUAUUUUCUCUGUAGAUGAUCAUUUUAUCUACAUAUAAAGAUUUUGCUUCUACCUUGCCAAUCCUAUCCUAAUUGUGUCAUUUUAUUGCCACUAUUUUGGUUUGGGCCUAUGUUUCAAAGUUUAAUGGACAGAUGAAGAGUAGGCAUAUCUGCCCUUGUUCCCCACCUUAGGGAGAAAGCAUUGUUUUCUCUAUUCAUAUAUGGUGUUUCUCCUGGAAGUAUGGAGUACAUGUCUUUUAUCUGUUGAGAAGGUUCUGUUCUACUUCUAGUCUCCUAAUAGCUUUUACCAUGAACAGCUGUAGAAUUUAGUCCAAUACUUUUUCUGCAACUACUGACAGGAUCGUGUGGCUUUUUCCUUUCCUCUGUUAAAAUGAUGACUUUUGGGGGUGGAUCUUCCAAUGCUGAACCAACACUGCCAUCCCUAUAACAAAACCACUUUCUACAUACUGCCAGAACUGACUUCUAAUAGUUUGUUUUCUUAAACAAAUUUCUACUUAUGUUCAUACUUUUUUCUUCUAUUAUCUUUAUCCAGUUUUAGGAUUAGCACAGUGUUGAUUUCCUAAAAUGGGAGAAGUGUUCCUUCUUUUUUCUGCUUUAAUUGUUUGAUAUAAUUUAUCAGUUAAAAUGUGUAUGAGCCUGCUGUUGUCAUAUAGGUAGGUUUUCAAGCUAGGAAUAUACUUUCUUUAAUAGGUGCUAUUCAAAUUUUAUAUUUCCUUCAGAGUUAGUUUCAUUAAUUUGUCUUCCAAGGUACUUCUUAGAAGUUGUCAAAUUUAUUUCAAAAAGAGAUUUUUGUAAUAUGCUUUCUAUAUCCUUUUAAAUUCUGUAAAAUCUGUGGCAAUUUCUCCUAGAUCUUGAUAUUGUAAUUUUAGAAAUGUAUAACUGAUAUUGUGUAAUAGGAAGAAAAGGUCUAAAGGAGCAGGGGAAGUGGGAGGGAUAGGGGGAAGGAAAGAAGGGAAAAUAAAAAAUAUGAGAAAAGGAAAAAAAUGGAAACAAAUAGGGAAGCGUGGAGGGGGUGAAGGGAGGGCAGGGGAAGGGGAAAAAAUAAGAACCAAGAUACAUCAUGUAAAGGUACAAGAUCCUAAUGAUGAAUGUAACUGUAUUGUAUACCUAAAAUGUACCAAUAAACUUAAUGGAAAGAAAGAAAAAAGAAAAGAAAACAGAAACUCAAAGCAUUAUGGGGAUCGUGGAUUUUCUUCUUUGCCUCUCUAUCCCCGAACUGCCUUGUUCUUACUUUCAAGUGGCUUAUGGAAAGGAUUAAAAGUGAAGGGUGAAAAUGAAAAAUAGGUGCUGUUUCUAUUGUCAGCCUUGGAAGUUCUGUGAACAGACUGAAAGUUCCUUCAAGGUCUAUGAAAAUAUUAGCAGAUGCCAAAAGGCCAGCAGCCAAGAUUUGUGUCUUUGUGCAGGAACUGAAUAGCUACCAACAGUUAGAAAAAUUUUAAAAACCUUGGCAAUGACAUAAAAGUCCUGUGAAAAGCAGUGAGAUCGAGAGAAAUGCUUUGAAAUAGAUUUAUGAACUUGUAAAAGAAUGUUUUCUACAGAUCCUAAGCCUCUAACUAUAUAGAAAUCUGACAUUUUAAGAUUAAGGAAGAACAUUUAUUUAUUCUCUACAUUAGUAAUAGUGGUUGAAGUAAACCUGAGCUAACUUAGGCCAUUAGAGAAGGGAGGUAAUGUGCAUAAUUGUUAGCAAAAAUUAAUGUUUACAACAAGCAAAUAUGUAAGUAUGUAAAACUAUUCUAGGUUGUCAGAAUAUUAACCCAUGACAUCUUAUAAGCUUUUUAUUAUUUUGGUAGUAAAUUAAUUAGUUACAUUCAGAAUAUUAUAAUUGACCUUCUUAAUUAUUUUAUGCUUCCAGAUAUUUAAAUCACAAAUAUAUGGUUUUGUUCAUCUUUUUAAAAAAUAUAGUCAACAUAAUAAAAAUAUUUAAUCUGUUUAUAAGAAUUGAAAUCAAUGGCAAGAGUUAAAGGUGCUUUUUGUACAAAGGAAUUUGAAUUUUUAAGAUAAAAUAUAUAUGAUAAAGUUGUGGUUCAGGAAAAUCUUUGGGAUUUAAUUACUGAUAAAAUUAUAAAACAUGUGGGCCAAGGAUUUAGCUCAAUGGUGCCACCACCUGCCUCACAAGCGCAAGGUCCUGAGUUCCAUCCCCAGUACCAAAAAAAAAUAUUAUAAAACAUGUAACUACCUCAUUAAUUCUUAGUUAAUAAUUUCCUUCAUUAUAAGCAGAACCCAUAGUUUGAUUUAUCUUUAUGAAGAAUGAAUUUUUAACUUUAUUUUUAUCAGUACAUAUUUGCAGUUCAUAAUGAUCGCAUUCCUCAUGGGGAGUUGGCACAUGUACAUAACACAUCUUAAUUCUUUUUUCAUCCUCUUCCUCUUCCUUCCCUUCCCCUUCCCUACAUCUCUUUGUCCACUUCCCCUUUGCAAAGGAUCUAUCUGUUUCCUAUUAUCUAUCUUUUAUUUUGUUCUUCAAUUUAUUUAUACUUUGGUUUUCUCAUAUAAGAGAAACCAUGCGAUAUUUAAGCUUGGAGGAAUGAAUUUAUUAAUUUUAUUUCUGUAAGAACGUCUAUUAAUAUACUUGGGUGUUAUGUCAGAAAACAAACAGUAGAGGGCACUUUAGUUCUCUAACAAAAUAAGCUUAGUCCAAAAUCUUAUAUAAAUCAAUGAAAUAGACAAUAAAAUUUGAACUACCCAAUAAAGGUUAUAGAAAAGUGAAGGCAAGUUCCUGGCUUCCCAUAGCCUAAUAAAAGAUAUGAUGAGCAGAUGAGCAGCAGUUUCUGUCUUUAGUCAAUCCAAAUAACAAUUGGGUGUCACAUGAAAAAUGCAAAUGUUCUAAGAAUUGCAAAUUAGUGAAUCCAGCAUUUUGAGAACAUUUCAUUUAAAAAACUCACACUUAUUUUAAAUUGGCCAAUCUAUUGAAUGUACUUGAUUUAAAUCAGUAAAUUGUCAUUAUCCAGAAUCGCAAGAAGUAACUAUAGCAGAAGUAGCAUAGUUCAUUUCCUUAGACAUGUUACUUAUUCAUAGUUCCCUCUAAAAUCAUUUUUAUCGUCAUCCUUGUCAUUACUGUCAUAAUCUAAUUUCAUGGUAUAAUGGCUACUUUCACGUAUCUUCCACUUUAAUUUUUCCAAGAUGAAUAUAUGAAACAAAAAUAUCAGAAAAAAAUACAUGAUUAAGUGUAAUUGUAUUGUUCAGUGUGUAAAUGGCUUCAGACAAAUUGUGGUAACUUGUGCAAUUUUCUCGGGCUUAGUUUUUACCUGUCAUAAAUGAAGUUCUAAAUUUAAUGAUGAGAUUCUAUAACAUUGUCAUCUGUUCUUAUUUUGUAUAUUAUUCUAGCAAAUUUAGUUAUCUGUGCCCUAGGUCUCAACAGAUUUGUGGCAAAUCUUAACUGUUUUAGGGCUCAAAGACCCUACAUUUUUAUAAAAGAUAGGGAGCUUAACUGCCUAAAAAUGCUAUAAUGGACACUUUACUCAAAAUGACCAUUCAUUUCAGGAGGUUCAAGGGCCCACAGCAAUCAAUGCAUAGGCUUUACAAACACUACACAAGAAUCUCUGACAGAGGCGAGGGUUACAUGGCUCCUUCGUACACAUUUGGGUGCUUAGUACUAGCAACUUUGGAUGUCACUGUUGCCUCAAGAUGAGCAGUGAAGCCGGAGAGAAUGUUGACAUGCCACAAUUCUGGACUUCAUCCCAUAAACCACAGGGCGUAAUCUGAAGUGUUUAAAUAUACAAGUGGAAAAUGUGCAUUUUAGGAAGUAAAAUCAGAGAAUAGAACAUUUUUAAAAAAUAGAAAGAAAAGGAAAACAGGAAGUAGGAAGACUGUCAGUCUAUUGGCUUCAUAGCUCAGGUGAGAUACAUUGAUAACCUGUUUUUAAAAGUCUUCCAAAAUUAGGUGUGUUCCCUCUUCUAAGAUAGGCCUACUUUAAUCCUGCACAAUAAAUAAAGAGACAAAGUUUUCAAACACUGGAGGACAUUUGGAAACCAUACAAAUGACUGUUUUGCAAUUUGCGAAAUCAUUUUCUACUGGAAGCAGCAGGUAGAUAUUAGCAGCCUUGCUUUUAUGCCCUUUUCUCUAUGUGGAGUACUCCAAAAGCGUAAGCAGCUUAGGAUCCACUGGCAACUCCUCCUGAACAGACUGGCAUGGAGGGCUUUGCUCACCAUCCACAUCCACCUCAGGGACAAGCUCUGACCACUUACGUUACAAUGCUUGCGGCAGAAACAUAAAAUUUAUGGAGGCUGGGUCAGUCAGGAAAUUCCUCUCCAUUGCCAGACAGCUAAACUAAAACAGCAAGCAAGCAACAUUUCUGAAUGGAGAGGUUUAUCACAGGCAUUUAGUAGAAUUAAAUGAAAAAAUAUGUAUCAGGGUCCAUAGAUUGUCUCCUAGAAAAUUUGCAUAAAUCCUUAUAUUGCCACACAUUGUGAAUCUCAUUUGUUUCCUGUAAGGAAGUGGUGAGGAUGGGAUACAGAGGUGGAAUAAGAAGACUUUGACUAAGGGCCUCCAAGAAUGGGGCCAAAAUAAAGCAAAGUCAAUAGAAUUGAAGAAAAUUAGGUUUAAGUAUUUACUCAUUGAGUCUACUCAAAAUGUGUUAUUUAGACUGAUGUAGGAAGUGAAACACAGUUCUAAACUAUUUAUAGAACAAAUCUCACGUGGCUCUUUGGAGACACCCUCCAUACUUCCCCGGGUGGCCCAGGCCACACUCCAGCCUUGUGCCUGUCCACUCCUGCCUCAGGUCUAUGUUCAGUGGACAGCAGGCUGAUGGACACACCCUGCCUCACAAUGUCUCUGUGGCAUGAUGUCCCCUUGAGCCAGAUGCCCCUCCCCUUGACUUUCCACAUGGUACAAUCCUAUUCAUCCCCAAAUCGCAAUCCCAAAGCCAUCUUCUCUUGUUAAACUCAAGUGAGCCCCCACUGUCUACUUCCUGCAAGCAGAAUGGAUCACCUUUCUCUGCCAUCUGGGCCUGUGCUCAGAUGCCAAAUGGCCACCACAACAUCCACAAGUACAAGUAAUACGUCCUUCUUCCCACUGUCUGUCCACUCCUCGAAGAAGGAGCCUGGUCAAAUUCCUGGUGUCCCCCUGCCUCCUAGCACAACAUUGGCACACAUUAAAAAACAGGUCAAUGAAGGACCCUAGUUAGCAAGACAGACUCCAUAUUGCUGUUUGACCCACCUGCCUGUCCUUUAGAUGAACUCAGAAGGAGGAAGCUUAGAAACUUCCUCCCCUUAACAGUUAAUCAACUUUUGUUUUACAAAUGUUCUAACAGCAGGACAUUCUGCUUCUGUACCUUUUGCUUGCUUUACUAGUUCUAUCCCAUAGGGGGGGCCUAGAAACUGUUGGCCCCAAAGGUGUAUAAAACAUGUUUGUCUCCCCCCAGUUGAGGCUGGAGUCUGAUGCUCAGCUCGGGUCCCGGCCGGUAAUAAACUCCUGUGUGGAUUUCAUAUCGGUCUCUGGUUGGUUCUCUCUCCCUGGGUCUAACAGUCAAUAUUUUUUAAAGGAUGGAAUUCUAGUCAAAAGGCUAUUGGAAUAAUCCAGGCAAAAGGCUUAUAUGAGCCUAAAGAUGGAAGAUAGAACUAGGAAAGAAAAUUCAAAACUAUCAAAAUGGAAUAGAAUACAUUAAAUGGGUGAUGAAACACAGAAAUGAGAGAUAAGACCUCGGAGAGGAUUCUGACCAAAUAUUCUGCCUCAAAGUCUGAGAUGCUAUAAACCUGGAAAGAGUAGGACAAAAAGAGAAAAGUUAAUUUCUGUUUCAGACAAGCAGAGGAUGUCCAUGUGGGAGUGUUAAGCAGAGCACUGUGCAUUCAGAAUUGAAGCUGUGAGAGAAGCUCAGGGCUUGGAGCAGGACAGGAACCUGCCGAGCAGGGGCUGCCAAGAGAAGGGAGCCAAUGGCUGCAUUUGGGGUCCUGCCUCUAUUUACCAGAAAUAGGGGAACAAAGAGAAGAACUCUGAUGAGAGAUCAAAUGCAGAACUCCAAGAAAGGAGACCAAAGGUGUGGAAAUUGCCCCUGAGCUACAAGAGGACCAAAGAGGGUGUGGUCAUGGCAACCUCAGAGUGGCUCCUCCUGAACCGUGAGCCCAAAGGGGAAGGGUGGGAUGGGGACAGUGAGCAUGGCAUGCUCCUCAAGCACCAGUCAUAACAGGAGGGAGGAUGCUCUGCAAACUCCAGGAAUCAUUUCUCAUUGUGACCUACAUCGCCUUUUAACUGUAUGUUGUUUUAAACAAGUUUCAUUAAAGUUGGAGUGGCCCAAAGUUACCAAGAUAAAAUUUGCUUUUUCAUUUGUGAUGUUAAAAAUAGAAUCUAUAGAUAAGAUUGGGCUCUCUUUCUCUUUCUCCCUCUCCCUCUCCCUCUCCAUCUGGUACUGGAGAUUGAACACAGGGCCUUUGCAACGAGCAAUGUCCACAGCUUUGAGGCAGGGUCUUGCUAAUUCACUAAAAUUGGCCAGGCUAAGCUUGAUCUUGUGGCCCUCCUGCCUCAGCUGCCCAGAGUGCUGAGAUUACAGAUGACCACCACCAUGUGCAGCUUUUACUUUCUUUUAAAGUACAUCACUUAAUUCUCAAUGUACAUCAACUUAUUUUUGUGAAUUUUUUCCCUAAAAAGAUGAGAAAGAGAGACUAACAGUAAAUCCAGUUGAAUCACAUAUGCUGUCCUGCCUAUCUAGGGUGGGGUCAGGGUAUGAUUGUGAGCCCUUGAAAUGAUCAUUUCUCACCUGGCUUCCCUCCUAGCACUCCAGAUUGCAGGUUGUAUUAUUGUUCAGCAGAGCAAAGGGAGCGCUGGGAUGUCUGCCUUCCUUGCAGCUGAGCACUUUUUAUUGUCUCCCCAACUAGCAGAGAGGUCUGUGGAUUUUACAUCACAAUCAUUCAGGAUCAUGGCUCUCUUUAUCCCAUGCCAUUUCCAGCUCAGUAGGUUUCACUGUACUGAAUUUAGAACUGAAGACUUGUGUGUUUUAAUUUUGUUUUAACUAAUUACAUUUUAAAUGUAUUUUAUGAAGCAGCUUUGGGAAGUUUAUUAAAAUCCAUUUAAAAGAGCCGGGGAUUUAGCUCAGUGGUUUUGCCGCCUGCUGCACAAACGCAAGGACCAGAGUUCUAUCCCUGGUACCAAAAAAAAAAAAAAAAAAAAAAAUCCAUUUAAAAAGAAGGCUUUGCAGAGUUCAAAUAUACUAAAUUAAAUGAAAUAUUCAGGAUUACCUCAUUUAGUUGUUGACUCCCUAGAAAUUAUACCUGGUGGAUUUCUGGAAAGAAAAUGGUUCUUUCCCAGAGGAAGGAAAAGGAAACUAAUGGAAAAAGCUUAAAGAAGCAGAACAAACUGAGGAAGGAGACUCUGCCUCUAGUAAUAGCAGAGGAGGCAACGCCUGCUGAAAACCAGUUUUGAGAAAAGUAUCUUAUUUGCAAUCUACUUAGAUAUAAUUUACUUGCUUGAUUGUUCAGUAUUUAGGAACACAGUAGUGUUUCCCUGCUAGAAUGUGAGCUGCACAAGGCAUGGGUCUUUGUUUUUGCUGCAGUGACCUAAGCCUCCAGAAUAGCAUCCAGCACAUACCAGCUGUCACGUAAUCACUGGUAUCUGGGUGAGUGAAUUAUCUACAAACUCUUCCGUCUUGGAAGUGCUUACUUUCUUCCUCAGAGGAGCUCUCUUUAGGGUCCCUCCUGCACCUCUCCCUCUUCCUGCCCAGUGUCCUUGCAAUGCAUCUGAGUUCCCUGGAGAACAGUCUUAGGAGGCCAUGGUCAGCUCCCCGGAGAACAGUCUUAGGAGGCCAUGGUCAGCUCCCCCUCCACAGUGUAGUAAAGAGAAUCCCUGGGGCACAGUGACGAGAAAGUGAGCCUGUGGCCCUCUUGGUCUUAGCUGGAAAGGAGAGGGGAAUAAAAAAGGAAAACCAAUUCAAGGACUUAAUCCUACUGAGACCACAAACUGGGAGAGAACUUUGAGUGUGGGUGCCACACUGUACCCCAAGUUGCUCUGAUUUGUUGUGGAUUGUCUCAGGACUGAUGGUAAAGGCUGGAGUGAAAGGCUCUGUAGAUAAUAGUCUCUCCCCAUCCCCUUACUGAAAGAGUACACUGGCUACAGUAUUGGAUUGAAAGAGAUAAGAAACUAAGUCAUAAUUCUGAGAUAUCUCAUGACCUGCCUGUCCGCGAGUGACAGCCUGGCUGGCAAAAUCAAAAUGGCCCAAGAAGGGGCACUGUCAAAGCACAAGGGUGCAGGAGAGCAGACAGGAGGAGGUUGUACUUGCUGACCCGCCAGACCCUCCUUCGCCCACCACCUCUCUUCUCCUCUCUUAUCCUUUCUGUAAUCUUUUGCAUACCUAAUUCCAUCCUAGCAUGAGCUUUUUGGAGGACUUGAACUGAUUUACCCUCAACAGCCUGCUAACUAAAAUCCUCCAGUAUCGGUGCUGAAGAAAGAGACUGUGGGUAAAUGUGCUAUCUUCUAAAAGCCUUACUGGGAAUAAUGUACCCCCAAAUGUAGAUGGCAGGUGCCAAUUCUGAUCAUGUGAUGGCAUCACUGAGGGAGGUUAAUGAUCCGUUUCAUAGGUAGCUUUGGAAUAUCUUUAAACCUUUUAAAUAGGUAUAUGAUGUCAGAUGUGUUUGCAAAUCUCCCUGAAGAAGGUGGAGAGCUUUUAGCACAUUCAUCUACAAAGUUAUCAACAGUGCCGGUUAGUUAACUUGGUAGUUUGUUCACAAGUGACGGUAACUUAAAAUCUACAUUACAUAACUUAUUUUAUGCAAUAAUAAUGAUGCUUCUAUUUCCCACCCCAUGCUAAAUGAACUUCAGUUAUCUCUAGAGCUCUGCCAACUAAGACUUCAGUACACAGAGAACCAGUGCUACAUCCUUUACCUAACACCACCCUUUAAAAGAAAUUAUGCCCUAAUUUACAAAGUUCCUAGCAGAAAAGAAAAGUACUUGAGAAAUCAGUAGGUUAAUUUUUUGUUUGGGGACUAAAUCUCAGUUGAAGAUGCUUCAACUCCCAGCCCAGACAGUGCCGCCCAUUAACCCACAGGGAGGAGAGGCGGGAAGCUCCUCCAGCAGCUGUUCUCUGGGACAAUGUUUCCACCAGCAUCACUUCCAUCAGAAGCAGGCAGGACAUCUGUGUCAGCAGCACAAGUGUUCUGUGUCAGCAUCUCUGUUUCACACUACCCGCUAAGUGCAUAAAGUUUAAUUAGACCAAAGGCCAGGAGUGGUUUGUUGAUAGCUCCACCUGGAAGCUAUGGCCUCCUAGGAGAGUAUAGUUCCUGCCCCACCCUAGGGAACCCUCUAUGUCAGGAAAAAGCCAACCGCUCACAGCUCAUGGCUUGUUCCCUACAGGAAACUAUUCUCAAAAAGUAAUAACCUCACCCCUGAAUCUAGUGGAAUAUUUAUGGGGAGCUGGGAAUCCGUAAUUUGUCUGGACACUCACAGACACCUCUGUGCUCUGCUACUGCUGACCUCAGCCAAGGCCCCUGAGUUCAUCCCAGGCAAGUUUAUCUGCUUUCUCUCUGACUUCAGUGGCAGGAGGGAAGCAGACAGCAGACAGCCUGAGCUCUCUGUCAGGCGUCAGGCAGGACUGAGGGAAGGGACAGAUUGUGCCUCUCACAGACAGUGGUGAGAGUCCUAGGAUGAAAUGAGAACUCCCCUCCCUUCCCCUCUUCUCUCAGUGUUGAGUCUGCAUGAAAAAUACUUGCUCUGGAAUCUCCAUUUUUUUCUGUUCCUAGUAGGAUUGAGUGAUCAAUCUUGAAAAAUUCAGAAGAGAUGCUGCAGGGCAGGGAAAGGGCAAUGCAGAUUUUGGUCUUUCCAGUUACCAAGGGGAGAGUUAAACCCAGUAAGUUUUAGAACAUAUCGAAGUACUUGAAAACCUUUUUAAGAAAUAAACAUAAGAGGGGACUUAAUAAAACUGUGCUAAGAGGAGGAGAAAUCAGAGGUUUCGCUGUGAUGAUGACAAUCAGAUACUAACUUCUAACAAAACAGUUACUACCUCCAGCUACUACUUUCCUGACUACUAGCUGAGUGCCUUAUAUUUCCAGAUCUCCUGGAACCUUCUUUUUCUAAGAGGAACAAUCACCUACAUCCUGUGUUAACAUAUCUGUUCUGAAGCUCACACACACACACACACACACACACACACACACACACACACUCCAGCACUUUUAAAGCAUUACUCUUCAUUGCAGAAAUGUCAUAGAAUAGCCAAGAAAUUUAAGACAGUUAUCAUGAUUUAGACCAAGUAAAAGCUCUUGUCUUGGGUUUUAGACAUUUGCUUGAAAAAAUCUCUAUGCCAGGCCCUGACAGAGACUCAGAAAGGACAAUGGAUCAUUUAGUGUGGGGCCACUCAUGUCCUCAACCAGUAGCACUUAGACUAUUCCGCCAAAUGACUGAGUAAACCCCACUAGUUCUUGCAAAAUAUGAUAAACAUGAUUUCUUCUGUUUUGCCAAUGUCUAGUUAAUAUUUUAAAUAUAUACUUUCUUAGCAUUCCCGGAAUUACAGACAUGAGGAUCAGGGUAAAAAUACACAGCAUUCGGUGGCACAUGUUACUUUGUUAAUGCAGAGUAACAGUUUUCACUUGGACUGCAUCUUUUUGAAGGAUUGCAAAGUGCUUUACUCCUGUCACUGCAGAGACAUUAUUCAAUCACUUUGAAGACAUAAAGAACCAAAAAAAAAUCUCUGAAAAUGAAAGAAGAGAAAUGCUUUUUCUACUAAUAAAAAGGAAAAGGGAAGGUCAUAGGAAAUUACAGACUGCUGGUCUUAUAUGAGCACCAAAACAAAUGACCAAAUAAGCCUCUACCACACCUCCUAACUAGCAGUGAACACAACUCUUUAGUGAGCAUCACACCAACUAGGAUUAUGUUGGGCUUUGUUUCUGUUAUGUUUUGUUUUUUGUUUGGAAUCACACUUAAUGUCAACAGGUUUUUGAAUCCAGCAUUAAAUAAACAUGAUGCUAUGCAUGAGGAGUGAGAAGACAUGGGUCUAGCCUUGUCUCUUCCACAUGAUUCCGAGUAAACCUCACUUAUCCCUUUAUUUGAUGGAUUACCCACCAGUAAAUCAGAUAAUACUUUUAACUUGUCAGUGUCUCUUUAACUUCAGCCCUUAAGAAGCUUAAAACUGGGACUCCAAAUCCCUAGGAUAUUUCCAUCUCUAGUAAACACUCCACCUAGACUGGCUACCAGACUCACAGGAUCCCACUGCUGGAAUUCGUCCCUUUGGUAUGGCAGGUUCAGCAUGGAAAAUGGUCACAUCUGAAAUCUAGGGUCCGACUGCGUGUCCCUAGCUGAUCAGUGCAGUGCGCACACUUCAUUCAAACAGGCUCAAUCAAAGGCUUUCUCCCAGGACACCAAAUGGAAAGACAGAAAGACUCACAAAUAUUAAAAAUGGUCAGUUUAGAGAGUCCAGAAGACAUUUUUUAAACUGUGAAAGAAAGGAAUGGAACAAAAAGGAAUGGAAUGGACCGGGAGUGCUGGGAUCCAGAUGUUCAGCUGUACAACUCUCCACCUCCAUCUGGAGUCUGCCAGGUGCCCUCGUGUUCUGAGACCCAGGCCUGUGGGUCAUCCUGAGGGCCCACAAGUGGAUCCUGGCUCCAGGAGGUACCAGGUGAGGGAACCACUUUGCUGACUGCUCAAUGUUUCUUUCAUGGAUCAGAUGAGCUUAGGCUACCAGGAUGAUAUAUGAACACGCUGGUCCCUGUGGGAGAACAUCACUACCAGGAAGAACAAAGUUGGUUUUGUGAGACUUUUGUUACACACUGAUGUUUAUGUUACUCAUAUAAAUAUAUAGAUAUUUGUGUAAAUAUUACAUAUACAGCAUUUUAUAUAAUGUAGAAUUUUUACAAAUAUAUUUUAUGUAUUCAGUUUACAUCAAACAUAUUUGUUACUAUGAGUUGUGGUAAAACAUAUGUUCCUUGGUGAUCUAAAAUACUAGUCCCUAAUAGAUUAACGUGUAAAACCAGUGUUGGUAAAUGGCAAUAGCAGUGCAUAAUACAAUUAAAGUUUAAUUAUCGAAGCCAAAUCAAUAAUUUGGAAAAGGAAGAUAUGAAGGAAAAACAUCUAUAUAAGAUGUUUACUUAUAAUUUCACUCAUGCCAUUUUGGAUGCAUCAGUAAGUCUAACAAGCAGAAUAAAUACAUUAUCCCUUCUAGAACUAGACAGAGCUGGAAACUUUCAGCUCAGCUUGAGACAGACAGGUAGUAAAGGCACGGGUGCACAAGGUCUUCUCUCAAGCAAAACCAACCAAAUUUCCAUCUCAAGGCCCCACUCAAGUGUUGGAGCCUAAAUGCUAAUGCAAAGAUCUCAAAGUCUGACCUUCAUAUUUCAUCACUUCUACUCCAUCUACCAUUUUGUAUUGGCUUUUUCAGGUCUAUCAUGUUAUUGAUCAAUAACUGAAUUUUUAAAUCCUGUAAUUUUAUCAUUUAAUUUAGAUCUCUUAAUUCCAUAUGGAAAAUAAAAUUAGUCAGAAUAAAUAAAUAGAAAUCAAAAACUCGAGCAAUUUUACAUUUGUAUGACUCCAAGACAUCAUAGGUAUGUUUUUAAAUCACUAAUUCCUCCAGUCAGUCAUGUUGAAAGUCAACUUGUUCUGUAAAUGUCUAGUCAAGCCUAAAAAUUCAAACUCUGUGACUCAGGGCUAAAAGGAAAGUUUUAAUGCUUGAAAAACAUCAUCUACCUCAUGAUUUUUUUUUUUUAUUAUCAGCUUACAGGAGCUCAUUAUAUCAGUAUUCAUUCCUCUUCAAAAUGCAUCCAUGACUUACUGUCAUAUGUGCCGUAUCUCCUUCAACUAAAGGUUAUUCUCUUUGAUAUUUCCGAACACACACUCCUUGCUUUAAAAAAUGGAGAGUAACUGACAAGUGUGAGAAAAUAAGCUUAAUCAUCGUAUUUUUUGACACUAGCAUCACUCUUUCUGCUGUUUUUUCUUUGAGACACUGCGCCUCUUUACGCUUGUGCUGGGUCUGCAUGUUUACGACAUCUAUCACCAUAAGCCAUGCCUGCCAGGGUACAGACACGGCGCCAGAGGAUGGAGCGACAUUGCGAGCUGAAGCCCUGGUAGACUGUGUCAGAGCAAGGCUGCUCUGAGAGACAGAUACCAGAGUUGGAGCUACUGCCCUCUGAGAGGCUGUGCUUUGAUGCUAGAGAGACUGAGAGGAAGGUGGAAUUCCAU